UUUCACUUGUCUCUCUCACUGAUCCUGGCUGAUCUCAGAAGCUAAGAAGGAUCAGGCCUUGCUAGAACUUGGAUGGAAGACCACCAGGUAAUGACAGGCCAGACUGAGAC
rnacentral:rRNA from 1 species